GCCGGUAUAGCUCAGUUGGCUAGAGCAUGCGGUUCAUACCCGCAGUGUCGUUGGUUCGAAUCCGACUACCGGUACCA
rnacentral:tRNA from 1 species